CAGAGAAUAGUUUAAUAAAAAUAUUAAUUUUGGAGAUUAAUGAUAAGAGUUUAAUUUUUUCUCUGA
rnacentral:tRNA from 1 species